AACCCAUAUUGGAGACACUUCCGUAAAAGGUCCUUGAAUCGUUCCCAAGUCUCAAACAAAGUUUCAAGCUCCAUCUAAACAAAUGAAGAUAUCUCAUUGCGAAGCUU